AUUCCCUUGGCAUCUAUGAAGGCCUUGAGCCAUCUACAGGGCCCUAUAGACCGGGAAUUGUGUGGAACUGGGUUGCCUGAAAUUGGACCAACGAGAUCUGCUCAUCUUAAGGAAAGCUGUUUUUUUUUUUCCUCUGGAUUAUGAAUCAAGUUCAAAGCCUGGAUUCCUGUUUUCAGAACAAGCCAUGAUCCGAGCUUAGGCUUUCUUAAGCACUGGCUAAGAUAUCUGGGAGAAAAGACCAUGAAUGGCUGCUGAGUUUAACUCUGAAGGUCCUGAUGGAAGCAGGGAUCAUCUAACCAUCCAUAGCUGACAGAUGGGCACAACCAGUGUCCAUCACCCUUCCUCUUCAACAUACUCAUCAUAUCUGUGUACCCAAAAAGCAAAACCCCAAAGGAAAUAUCAAAGCAACACAAACUACAACAACAUGCAUUACUCAUGGAGUCAGUCAGACACUUAAAGCAGUAUUAUGCUAAGAAAAGAGUCUUGCAUACUUGCAUAGUUUGUUGUGAUACAAGUUGGGUGGAAUGCAACAGUGUUUCAGUCAGUGACUUUAACAUUUGAACUACAUACUUGGCAAGAUGUCUGAGAUAGCCAAACCCUGGUACUAACGGCCGGGUUGACUGACAGAGGUAGGAUGCUCCAUCAGAUUCACAGGUCUGUAGCUGCAGGAGGCUCAAGAAUAUCCUGAGCUGCUCAGCAGUAACUUGAUCUUGCAUGACCGCUUCUCUGCUGCUACCAUUGGAUGUCCACCCUGUGCCUUUUCUGCAGUUGUACGCUCCUAUCAGGAAACAAUGACAGGAGCCAGGGAAUUGAUGUAACAAUCUCCCAUGAGACCUACGUCCUACUGAUGAGUAUUUUCCUACUGCUGACCUUAUUCUUCCCUGCUCCAAUUUUAGCACGCUACUGCUUGUCACUUAAAGGGAGGUGAGCAGAGAGAGAUGUCCUUCUCCUUCAGCAUGUUAUUAUUCAGAGCAUUUAAAACCUAUUGCCAUUUCUUAUCUCUAUUUUUUUCCCCUGGAUAAAACAGAAUGAAAUUUCUUUCCUCCCCUUUUUUCCUCAAUCUCUGCUUGUACUUGCUAUCCUUCUGUAAGUCCCUGGGUGCCCCUUUCAUCACAGCAUUUCUGAAGCACAACCUCCAGAGCCAGUAGUUCAGCAGAGGCCCUUAGUGAUCAUCGCUCCUGUUCAUAUCCCCAGUGUUCACCUUUUCUGCACCUCCUCAUUCAGCACUGGCAGCUUCCAUUUGACAUCUAAAUCAGGGUCACUCACAGAUCCUUUUUCCAUGAUCCUGCUAUAUAGCUAGGAUUUUUUUUAGCCUGCUGAUUGUUGAGGAAAAAGCUCUCUCAGAACAAGACAGAAAGCCAGUGCUUUGACACGUGGUUCAUUUUGAAAUGGGCCAUUAUGUACUGAGCAAAAAAAUGGAGAACACAGCACAAAUAAAACUGUUCUCCCAAAUCCAUGGUGGGCUGUCUGGCCCGGAGGUCAGUUUGAUUUAACCUUUACUGGCCCAGCUAUCACAGCAAAGAAAACUGCUGGAACAAUAGUAGCAGCCACGGCAGCAAGGAAAACAGAAGCAGCUAGAAUUGCAGGAACUGGAUGCUAGCCACACAUCUGGGCAAGCCCACUGCACUCAACUCGUGAUGCAAGCCCUGCUCAAUACAGGCAAACAUGUGUGUUUAAGCCCAGCCUACUCAUAAGGUUUUAGCAAUGGGAGGAUCCCCUGGAGUGUCCCCCUUCAGCAUUAAAGGGGCUUGUAUUUCCAUCUUGGAACAUCCUGGAGACACGCAUGGUGAGGGUAGAAGGGAAAUGUUACAGGAUCUGCCCAUCAUAAAGUCCUUCCAGCAGGCACUGAUGCCUUCUCCCCUCAAUUUUUUUUAUUCUCUUUUUGGGCAUUAGGUUCAAAUUUUAAUCUAGUUCAAUAUUGGUGAAAAAAAUAAUCCUUGAUAAGUAAUUUGAAACAGUAUUUUAAUUUUCACUCAGAAUCAAUGAAGCUGAGAUUCAUUCGGAAUUUUAGCGAUGACUAAAUUGAUGGGAGGAUUUUGAUUAUUCUCCAUCUGAAAAACCAGUUUGCAGAAGGUACUGCACUGCUCUGCAUAAAAGUGAAGGCUUACUUUUUUCACAGCUGUUUUAAGAUAAAACACACUUUUGUGAUGUGACUAUGGCUAAAGGGUCCUGUGCAUGUUCACGCAUGUGUGAGUAUGUGGGAGAGAGAAGCACACAGCGGUUUUUAUUUUCCUUCAUUUAAUGGGGCUAUUUUGUGAGGCUGAAAAAAAAUUGUUAAACUUGCCUUAAUUGAUUGUUUAAAGUACCAUGGUGGAUUUGUCUUUUAAACAUAGCCCGUGGUUAAAGUUCCCUUUGCAUUGUAUUUGAAGUAGGUCCUUUGUGCUUUAAAAUGAAAACUGUAAAACUUUUGGUGUUUAAGGCUUUCUGACUCCAAGUUAAUUGUUUUCCUUUAAUAUGAGCAGAAUUAAAGAUAUUAAAAAUCGACUG